AAAAAUUCAUUUAUUUCACCAUUUCUGGAAAAGUAAAUAGAAAUUCAUGAUCUUUUGGAGGAGUUGUGUUGCCUUCUUUACAUAUUUUUUCUUUGUUUGUUUUUCUAGGUUGAUAUCUCUGCAUCUCUUUGGAUGUAUGUCUUUUCCAGUUUUACAUGAGCACAUAUUUGGCAAUCACAUUCUCUUUAUUAUAUGUCCUUGGUCAUUGAUUUAUUGAAUAAUAAUGACCUUUUAUAUCAAGUAGACUUAGUAGUAAAGUUUUCCUGUGGCAUGUCUACAGUGAUUGGCAGUCCUAACACAAUGCAUUCUGUUUGAAACUGAAGGACCAGCAUUCCUUCAGUUCAUCAAUAGUAUUGUCCUUUGGAUGUUCAGGCAUGGGUGGUUGAGAGAAGAAUAUGUAGAGUGCAAGUUCUAUGUUUACCCAUGUGGUCUUGUCAACAAUAUGCAUUCUGAAAAAGAUAAAAGUGACCCAUACAGAGGUUCUUUGUAGAUGAGGUAUCCACAAAAAUUGUGUUAUUUCCCUCUAAAUUGCUAUAGUGGUGACUGUCUUGGAUUGCAACUUUGAUCCCUCCCUACAUUCUUCUGCUUGGGGCUAUGUCUAGAACUAGAGGCUUUUUAUCUUCCUUCUUCCAUAAGUGGAAUUACCUGUCAGUGUUCCAGCUUGACUAGGAUAUGACUGGAAUGGUGUAAAUUUUUAUCAACAUGGCUAUGUGUGCAGGUCCCAAUGUCUAAAUCCAAUGAGCUCACUCUGCUUAAAUUGAGCCUACACUCCACCAAAAAGGAAGAAAACUAACAACAUUAACAAUCACAAAAUUAAAAAAAAACAGAUAUAGAAAUACAUUAGUAAUACAUUAAUAAGGCAGUGAGAGUGAAAACAAGUCAUGAUGCCAAAAAAGGAGGGGACAGAAAUAUUAUAGAAAAAGUUAAAUGUUAAAAAUUAAGAAAACCAAGUACAUGAAAAAAUGCUCACCAUCUCUAGCAGUCAGAGAAAUGCAAAUCAAAAC
rnacentral:lncRNA from 1 species